rnacentral:rRNA from 1 species
UACGGAGGGUGCGAGCGUUAUCCGGAUUUACUGGGUUUAAAGGGUGUGUAGGCGGGCUUUUAAGUCAGUGGUGAAAUCUCCGGGCUCAACCCGGAAACUGCCAUUGAUACUAUUAGUCUUGAAUUUUGUUGAGGUAGGCGGAAUAAGUCAUGUAGCGGUGAAAUGCUUAGAUAUGACUUAGAACACCAAUUGCGAAGGCAGCUUGCUAAACAAACAUUGACGCUGAGGCACGAAAGCGUGGGGAUCAAACAGG